CCAAGAACGAAAACCGUGGGUCCGGCAAGUGCCCCGAAAGGGCGUAAGCCCGUGAUGAGGGGAGGCCUUCCUGCCCACGGUAUAUUGUGGGAGGACCGCAUGCAAAAUGCGGUCUGAUGUGGGCUUGUCAGCAGAGCAAAUGCUGACAAGCCCAA
rnacentral:sRNA from 1 species